AAUUUGUUUUAUCUUUGGCUUAUUUUUAGGGUGGAUACUCCAUCUUACAUCUUAUAAUGUGGUUGGAGAACACUGGGGGAGAGGCAGAGGGUGUUCCAGCCACACAUCCCAGCCAUGAAGUCAAUUAAUACAACACUUUUAAAUGCUGUAUAUAUUUAUGAGAAUGGAACAAUUCACUACAAGGGUGUUAAAACGUAACAAAGACAUCGACUUUUUAAUCUAAAAUAGACCACUAAUAUUUGGAAAUGGAAUGGAAGCAAAUUAGAACAAUUUUUUGUGUAU
rnacentral:lncRNA from 1 species